CAUGCAAGUCGAACGGUAACAGGAAGCAGCUUGCUGCUUUGCUGACGAGUGGCGGACGGGUGAGUAAUGUCUGGGAAACUGCCUGAUGGAGGGGGAUAACUACUGGAAACGGUAGCUAAUACCGCAUAACGUCGCAAGACCAAAGAGGGGGACCUUCGGGCCUCUUGCCAUCGGAUGUGCCCAGAUGGGAUUAGCUAGUAGGUGGGGUAACGGCUCACCUAGGCGACGAUCCCUAGCUGGUCUGAGAGGAUGACCAGCCACACUGGAACUGAGACACGGUCCAGACUCCUACGGGAGGCAGCAGUGGGGAAUAUUGCACAAUGGGCGCAAGCCUGAUGCAGCCAUGCCGCGUGUAUGAAGAAGGCCUUCGGGUUGUAAAGUACUUUCAGCGGGGAGGAAGGGAGUAAAGUUAAUACCUUUGCUCAUUGACGUUACCCGCAGAAGAAGCACCGGCUAACUCCGUGCCAGCAGCCGCGGUAAUACGGAGGGUGCAAGCGUUUAAUCGGAAUUACUGGGCGUAAAGCGCACGCAGGCGGUUUGUUAAGUCNGAUGUGAAAUCCCCGGGCUCAACCUGGGAACUGCAUCUGAUACUGGCAAGCUUGAGUCUCGUAGAGGGGGGUAGAAUUCCAGGUGUAGCGC
rnacentral:rRNA from 1 species